UACGGAGGGUGCGAGCGUUGUCCGGAAUCACUGGGCGUAAAGGGCGCGUAGGCGGCCUGAUAAGUAGGGGGUGAAAUCCUGCGGCUUAACCGCAGGGCUGCCUUCUAAACUGUCAGGCUCGAGCACAGUAGAGGCAGGUGGAAUUCCCGGCGUAGCGGUGGAAUGCGUAGAGAUCGGGAAGAACAUCAGUGGCGAAGGCGGCCUGCUGGGCUGUUGCUGACGCUGAGGCGCGACAGCGUGGGGAGCAAACAGG
rnacentral:rRNA from 1 species